ensembl:rRNA 5S_rRNA 5S ribosomal RNA
GCUUACGACCACACCGGCCUGAGUACGCCUGAUCUCGUCUGAUCUCGGAAGCUAAGCAGGGUCCUGGUUAGUACUUGGGAUGGGAGACUUCCUGGGAAUACCAGGUGCUGUAAGCU